CUGGCGGUGUCUUGGCUUCGGCGCUUUAACCCUGCCUGCGGGGCGGGGGCGGGGUGGCGCCCAGGACGACUCCCCGGGCUCAGCUUGGCUGCCUGCCUCCUUCUCAAACAAUGAGUACCUACUGUGUGUAGAAGCAGCAGGACAGCCUGUCAUCACUGGGAAAGAGGCCAGAAGAGCCGUUUGGCCAGGGUCUCCAAUUUAGGCUUUCAACAUUAUCUCUAAAGAAGGUUAUACAUUAUGUCGGCUCCACUGGCUGAUGGGAUCAAAGACCCUCCUUGUAUAUCCUUAAACCUGUACUCUAUUACCAGGCCACUGUGCCUGUGGAGCACUGUAAGUUCCUACCUUUUAAUAAAUUUUAUAAUUAUCUUGUGAGCA
rnacentral:lncRNA from 10 species